rnacentral:rRNA from 1 species
AUUGAACGCUGGCGGCAGGCCUAACACAUGCAAGUCGAACGAGUGGCGGACGGGUGAGUAAUGUAUGGGAAACUGCCCGAUAGAGGGGGAUAACUACUGGAAACGGUGGCUAAUACCGCAUACUAUCGGAUGUGCCCAGAUGGGAUUAGCUGGUUGGUGGGGUAAAGGCUCACCCAGGCGACGAUCCCUAGCUGGUCUGAGAGGAUGACCAGCCACACUGGAACUGAGACACGGCCCAGACUCCUACGGGAGGCAGCAGUGGGGAAUAUUGCACAAUGGGCGCAAGCCUGAUGCAGCCAUGCCGCGUGUAUGAAGAAGGCCUUCGGGUUGUAAAGUACUUUCAGCGGGGAGGCGUUACCCGCAGAAGAAGCACCGGCUAACUCCGUGCCAGCAGCCGCGGUAAUAC